rnacentral:rRNA from 1 species
CAGCAGCCGCGGUAAUACGGGGGGUGCAAGCGUUAUUCGGAUUUAUUGGGCGUAAAGAGCGCGUAGGCGGUUUAUCAAGUCAGAUGUGAAAGCCCUGGGCUCAACCUGGGAAGUGCAUUUGAAACUAGUAGACUUGAGUAUGGGAGAGGGGAGUGGAAUUCCUGGUGUAGAGGUGAAAUUCGUAGAUAUCAGGAGGAACACCGGUGGCGAAGGCGACUUCCUGGACCAAUACUGACGCUGAGGCGCGAAGGCGUGGGGAGCAAACAGGAUUAGAUACCCUGGUAGUCCACGCAGUAAACGGUGAUCACUAGGUGUAGCGGGUAUUGACCCCUGCUGUGCCGCAGUUAACGCAUUAAGUGAUCCGCCUGGGGAGUACGAUCGCAAGGUUAAAACUCAAAGGAAUUGACG